CGGCGGACGGGUGAGUAACGCGUGGGUAACCUGCCUUAUACAGGGGGAUAACAGUUAGAAAUGACUGCUAAUACCGCAUAAGCGCACAGUACCGCAUGGUAGUGUGUGAAAAACUCCGGUGGUAUAAGAUGGACCCGCGUCUGAUUAGCCAGUUGGCGGGUAACGGCCCACCAAAGCGACGAUCAGUAGCCGACCUGAGAGGGUGACCGGCCACAUUGGGACUGAGACACGGCCCAA
rnacentral:rRNA from 1 species